rnacentral:rRNA from 1 species
GGGCCCGCACAAGCGGUGGAGCAUGUGGUUUAAUUCGAUGCAACGCGAAGAACCUUACCUGGUCUUGACAUACACAGAAUCUUGUAGAGAUACGAGAGUGCCUUCGGGAAUUGUGAUACAGGUGCUGCAUGGCUGUCGUCAGCUCGUGUCGUGAGAUGUUGGGUUAAGUCCCCGCAACGAGCGCAACCCCUUGUCCUUAGUUUACCAGCGGGGUUAAGCCCGGGAACCUCUAAGAUACUGCCAGUGACAAAACUGGAGGAAGGGCGGGGACGACGUCAAGUCAUCAUGGCCCUUACGACCAGGGCUACACACGUGCUACAAUGGUAGGUACAGAGGGCAGCUACACAGCGAUGUGAUGC